rnacentral:tRNA from 1 species
GGUUCUAUAGUAAAAGAAAUAACAUUAGAUUGCAAAUCUAGAGAUGUGUAAAUGCACUGGAACUU